rnacentral:telomerase_RNA from 1 species
AAAGGCGGUGCACUCCAAAGAAUCGUCGGGUUCAGGAGAGGGAUACAGUUGCUGGGCAACCGGUUUACUGUGUCUGCGGAUUACCUAACCCAGACCUAACUUACGUUAGAAAACUAGCAGUUGUAGGGACUGCCUCCGUUAAUGAACCCCUUAUUUUGAGUUGAAUUUAAACAGAAUUUUUACAGUUUUACAGCUGAGUGUUGGGUGUUUGCUUUAAAAUGAAGCGGACACAGAGCAGGACAUCUAAAUGGGAGAAACAUUGUUUUACUUUU